rnacentral:sRNA from 1 species
AAUUAAUUUAUGAUUCUACCGAAGACUCAGGUGGCGUAAGCCUUAAUUUUCCUGCCGAGGAGUGAAGUUCUACUCUCUCUGUGUCUUGGUGGACACGGAGUUUUUUUAUUGUAAAA